rnacentral:rRNA from 1 species
AUUGAACGCUGGCGGCAGGCCUAACACAUGCAAGUCGAGCGGAUGAAGGGAGCUUGCUCCUGGAUUCAGCGGCGGACGGGUGAGUAAUGCCUAGGAAUCUGCCUGGUAGUGGGGGAUAACGUCCGGAAACGGGCGCUAAUACCGCAUACGUCCUGAGGGAGAAAGUGGGGGAUCUUCGGACCUCACGCUAUCAGAUGAGCCUAGGUCGGAUUAGCUAGUUGGUGGGGUAAAGGCCUACCAAGGCGACGAUCCGUAACUGGUCUGAGAGGAUGAUCAGUCACACUGGAACUGAGACGCGGUCCAGACUCCUACGGGAGGAAGCAGUGGGGAAUAUUGGACAAUGGGCGAAAGCCUGAUCCAGCCAUGCCGCGUGUGUGAAGAAGGUCUUCGGAUUGUAAAGCACUUUAAGUUGGGAGGAAGGGCAGUAAGUUAAUACCUUGCUGUUUUGACGUUACCAACAGAAUAAGCACCGGCUAACUUCGUG